GCCAAAAUAGAUCCAACAGUAUUAAUUUAGGCUUCGUUUGGAAUUGCGGGGACAUUGUAUUACGUGCAGUGAGAAGUACGAUGAAAAAUACCAUGUUUGUUUCUAUACAUAAUAUUACGUUCUGCAUAUCAUGAUGAGUCGGUUAUAAUAUAUUUUCUACAAUCCCACCGGAGAACACAGAAACAUAUUCCUAUAUACUUCUACUUCAACUCCAUUUUAUCUAAUGGGCGUCAUCCUAUAUAUUUUUACUUCAACUCCAUUUUAUCUAAUGGACGUCAGAUAAACUUCAAUACCAAAUUAAGCCUUACUAAUAAAAAGUGAUAAAGCUUUAUCUCAUC
rnacentral:lncRNA from 1 species